CAGUCGACGAGCUUCCGUUGAAUGACGUGCUUGCACUGAUUUCAACAAUGAAGCGAGUGGCGAACUGGUGAGUAACACGUGGGAAAUCUGCCCAGAAGCAGGGGAUAACACUUGGAAACAGGUGCUAAUACCGUAUAACAACAAAAUCCGCAUGGAUUUUGUUUGAAAGGUGGCUUCGGCUAUCACUUCUGGAUGAUCCCGCGGCGUAUUAGUUAGUUGGUGAGGUAAAGGCCCACCAAGACGAUGAUACGUAGCCGACCUGAGAGGGUAAUCGGCCACAUUGGGACUGAGACACGGCCCAAACUCCUACGGGAGGCAGCAGUAGGGAAUCUUCCACAAUGGACGAAAGUCUGAUGGAGCAAUGCCGCGUGAGUGAAGAAGGGUUUCGGCUCGUAAAACUCUGUUGUUAAAGAAGAACACCUUUGAGAGUAACUGUUCAAGGGUUGACGGUAUUUAACCAGAAAGCCACGGCUAACUACGUGCCAGCAGCCGCGGUAAUACGUAGGUGGCAAGCGUUGUCCGGAUUUAUUGGGCGUAAAGCGAGCGCAGGCGGUUUUUUAAGUCUGAUGUGAAAGCCUUCGGCUUAACCGGAGAAGUGCAUCGGAAACUGGGAGACUUGAGUGCAGAAGAGGACAGUGGAACUCCAUGUGUAGCGGUGGAAUGCGUAGAUAUAUGGAAGAACACCAGUGGCGAAGGCGGCUGUCUAGUCUGUAACUGACGCUGAGGCUCGAAAGCAUGGGUAGCGAACAGGAUUAGAUACCCUGGUAGUCCAUGCCGUAAACGAUGAGUGCUAAGUGUUGGAGGGUUUCCGCCCUUCA
rnacentral:rRNA from 1 species